AUUGAACGCUGGCGGCAGGCUUAACACAUGCAAGUCGAGCGAGCGGCGGAGGGGUGAGUAAUGUCUGGAAACUUGCCUGAUGGGGGGGGAUAAUUACUGGAACCGGUAGCAAAUACCGCAAACCACAGGAUGUGCCCAGAUGGGCUUAGCUAGUAGGUGGGGUAAUGGCUCACCUAGGCGACGAUCCCUAGCUGGUCUGAGAGGAUGACCAGCCACACUGGAACUGAGACACGGUCCAGACUCCUACGGGAGGCAGCAGUGGGGAAUAUUGCACAAUGGGCGCAAGCCUGAUGCAGCCAUGCCGCGUGUGUGAAGAAGGCCUUCGGGUUGUAAAGCACUUUCAGCGAGGAGGCGUUACUCGCAGAAGAAGCACCGGCUAACUCCGUGCCAGCAGCCGCGGUAAUUC
rnacentral:rRNA from 1 species